UUCCUGUCUGUCUGAUGGGCAAAUAUGUUUCAUUCUGCGAGUGUAAAACAGUCGGUCAUGGAGAAAAACUUUAACUGUCCUGCUGGUCGGCUCGGCACUGUUAUCAAGCUUUGUGUGAGAUAAGAAACAAAGAAAGUUGGUCAGACUGUCCAGAAGCCUGGUGAGCUGAUAGAAGCUACAGUGGAUCAUUGUGGCCUUGAGGUUACAGCUCAUCUCAAAGAGACCAGAUUUACACUAUAUGGACAAAAGUAUGGGGACACCUGCACAUCACACCUACA